rnacentral:rRNA from 1 species
UACGUAGGUGACCAGCGUUGUCCGGAAUCACUGGGCGUAAAGGGCGCGCAGGCGGCCCGGAAAGUCGGAUGUGAAAACUCGAGGCUCAACCUCGAGCGUGCACCCGAUACUGCCGGGCUUGAGGCAGGUAGGGGAGAUCGGAAUUCCUGGUGUAGCGGUGAGAUGCGCAGAUAUCAGGAGGAACACCGGUGGCGAAGGCGGAUCUCUGGGCCUGUCCUGACGCUGGAGGCGCGAAAGCUAGGGGAGCGAACAGG